UUUCAUAUGUUCAAGGAACUCUCACAGCCAUUCUGAUGGAUCCUCCGCAAAUUCGUCACCACCGGUAAACCUUCAACUUUGGUAUCUACAAGAAGAUGCUAUAACAACUUAUUUUAUUUUGCUGUUUAAUUUUGGAUUAUAUUUUAAUGGUCAUUUAGGGUUCGUUAGUCAUUACCGUAUGUCUGACUUGGGUAUGACUGACUGUUAUUUCCUUCAGAAACACUGGUGAUGUGAAUUAAAACUAAAAGGGUGGAUAUUUAAAGCAUGUACCUUGCUAUUGUGAUACAUUUGUUAUUCAAUUUUUUUUCCCUGUAAUUUGUAGAUUACUACAAAUAAAGCUAAAACAUUUCCAGGAAAGAAGCAGUGUAGUCUUUCACCAAAAUGAACACAGCUGUUCUCCAAAAAUAAUUUUACCAUAAGGUUGACUCAUGGAAUUAUUAGGAACAGUUUAGGAUGGCCUUUAAUUUUUAUAUGAUCAUUGUAACUGGAUUUUAUCUUACAUGAUAUAUCAAAUAUAAUUCAUUUACAUUUGCUUUCCUUGUGUCUUUCCGAUCUAUUUAUGAGUCAUGACAUGUACCUUGCUAUUAUGAUACAUUUAUAAUUCAGUUUUUAUACGUUAUAAUUUGUUGAUUACUAUGAAUCAAACUAAACUGUUUUCUGGAAAAGAAUCAAAGUAGAUUUUUACCACAAUUAAAAAAGAUGUUCUCUUAAAAAAAGUUCACCAUAAGAUUGACUCUGGGAUCAGGAUUUAUCUUUCAUGAUAUAUGUAGAUCAUUUACAUUUGCUUUCAUUAUAUUUUUUCGGUCUUACCUUACUAUUCAUGUGAUAUAUUUGUAGUUCAGUUAUUGUUCCCUGUUGUUUUUAUAUAUUGGUACCGGCAUUAAAGUUAUUUUGAAAAACAUACAUGGACUCAUGCAUUUUGACACAUAUAAUUGAGUGAAGAGAAAAGAAAAUCGAAUGGUACAUGUGAAAUAAGUGAUCAUGAAUCAUUAUAUGUAUUGACAAUUAGGGGAGUGCUAUUUCUAACUAGGUUUUUAAAUAGAAGAUUAACUUUUAAUUCUUGCCUGCAUUGUUUUUAGGCUCUAACCUUUGUAGAAAAGAAUUGGUUUAGCUACACUGCCACUUUUUAACUUACUUUCGUUAUGUAAUAGGCAUUACAGUUUUUUUCCAGGUGGAGAACUCCAUUCAAGAAAAAAACAAAUGCAACAUACUCUUAAAAUAACAUGAUUACAAGUUUAUUAUUUUUAUUUACCUAUUCUUCUAAUUUCCACACCUUAUGCACCAAUAUCUUUCACAGUUUUUUUUUAUGUAGUGCAUAACCAUUAAUUGGCUUACUGAUCUACAAUCACCUUUUAUUUCCACAGCUUUUGAAACUCACAGGGAAAGAAGAUGGAAUCACCCCUCCCCUAAAAAUGGAAUUAUCCUCUAUCAUCGACAUGAUCAUAUCAGAGGUAUUUUGAAAAACAGGAUGAGAAGGAGUGAUGGCUGGGUCAACUCUAGAAUUCAGGAAAAAAGUGUCAUUUCAUCCAUGUUAGAAUUCUAUACCU
rnacentral:lncRNA from 1 species